rnacentral:lncRNA from 1 species
GCUUACUUUGUUAGGAUGAUCCAGGAAGGCUUCUCUGAGGAGGUGAUAUCUGAACAGAGAUCAAAGCAUUAGAGGCCAGGCAGGCAAAGCAUUGGAUGGAAUGGGCCAGCAAAGGUGGGCCAGUGAGUCUGGAAUGUUGUAAAAAUGCAACAUGACUGUAUUUGCCAGCAAAUGCUGGCAAAAAUGAUGGUAUUAGACGUCCAAAUGGUGAUAUCAGGUGGGUGGUGGAGUUUGGGGAGAGGUUGGCUAGGAAAUACAAAUUUCCAAAUCGUUAUCCUAGAGGUGGAAUUAAAGCCACGGAAGUGGAUGAGAUCCUCUGAGGCUGUUUCCCAUGGUGCAUGGGCUACUGGAGGGAUGCGGAACAAUUUCAGAUGCUACACAGGACCCUCCUGCACUCCUGUGGUUGGACUACUUCUGCCAUCCCAGUGGUUACACUCUAUUGGGCAAAGAAUUGAGACAAGGAUCCCAGAAAUCACGGACUACAAGCUGUUGUACCAUUUUGCUACUGUAAUAGAAGGAAACCACCAGAGCCCGGGCUCAACCUAGAGUCACGGAGGAAACGGGGUAAGAGCCAGGCACAUCUGCGCCUCGCGGAGCGGCAAGCCCUACUGUCUGCAGCAUCCCUUCCGGCGCUUACGUGCUCCAGGCACACCUGGAGGGAGCCGGCACUGCCACGGCGGCUGGAGCCGGGAGACCAGUCCCG